rnacentral:rRNA from 1 species
GAUGAACGCUAGCGGGUGGCCUAACACAUGCAAGCCGAGCGGUAGAGAUUCUUCGGCUUCUUGAGAGCGGCGUAAGGGUGCGGAACACGUGUGCAACAUGCCUUUUUCAGGGUGAUAGCAUUUCGAAAGGAAGAUUAUUAUCCCAUAUUAUAUUUCAUGGCAUCAUUAGAUAUUGAAAGCUUUGGCGGAUAGUUAUGUGGACGCGCAAGAUUAGAUAGUUGGUGUGGUAACGGCUCUCCAAGUCGAUGAUCUUUAGGGGGCCUGAGAGGGUGAGCCCCCACACGGGGACUGAGACACGGACCAGACACCUACGGGAGGCAGCAGUGAGGAAGAUUGGACAAUGGAUUAGCGCCUGAUCCAGCCAUCCCGCGUGAAGGACGACGGCCCUAGGGAUUGUAAACUUCUGUUGGACAAGGAUAAACCUACUCUCGGGAGAGUAGCUGAAGGUACUGUACGAAGAAGCACCGGCUAACUCCGUG